ensembl:Y_RNA Y_RNA Y RNA
GGUUGGUCUGAGUGCAGUGGUGCUUACAACUAAUUGGUCACAACCAAUUACAGAUUUAUUUGUUCAUUUUCCACUCCGACUGCUUCAGUUGACUGGCCAAAA